ensembl:lncRNA
GCAAUGGACUACUAGCUGUAAAGUGUUCAUAAAGCUGAAUGGUACGACGACUACAGAAGACGGAAAAGUCAUGGUCAUUAAUGACAUUGGUGAUCUUGACAGAUUCGAUGUCUGAGGCAAUGGUUCUGGGCACUUUGGCGGAGCACUCACUGCCAUUCACAAUGGCCCCUGUCAUCGUCAACCUUGCUCGGAUGCUGGCCGAGGACAAAGUGGCUCUAAGUCGCAUGAAGCUGUCGCGAACAUCAGCGCAAUAUAAAAUGGUUCACGGCCUGGGGAAGACAUUCUCCGACCGCAU